rnacentral:rRNA from 1 species
GAUGAACGCUGGCGGCGUGCUUAACACAUGCCAGUCGAACGAAACCUUUGCGAGAGAUUUUUUCGAAGUGAAGUUGCUUAUGACUGAGUGGCGGACGGGUGAGUAACGCGUGGGUAACGUGCCUUGUCCUGGGGGAUAGCAGCUGAAUACGGCUGGUAAUACCGCAUAAGCGCACAAUGUUGCAUGACCUGGGGGGGAAAUCUCCGGUGGUAUAAGAUGUACCCGCGUGGGGUGCGCUAGUUGGUGCGAUAACAGCCUCCCAAGGCGACGAUCGGUACCCGGCCUGUGAGGGUGAGCGCCCACAUUGGGAGUGGGCAGCGGCGCAGACUCCUACGGGAGGCGGCAGUGGGGAAUAUUGCAAAAUGGAGUAAACUCUGAUGCAGUGACGCCGCGUGAGUGAAGAAGUUGUUCGUGAUGUACAGCUCUAUCAGCAGGGAAGAUAGUGACGGUACCUAACUAAGAAGCUCCGGCUAACUACGUG